CGGACGGGUGAGUAAUGUCUGGGAAACUGCCCGAUGGAGGGGGAUAACUACUGGAAACGGUAGCUAAUACCGCAUAACGUCGCAAGACCAAAGAGGGGACCUUCGGGCCUCGCGCCAUCAGAUGAACCCAUAUGGGAUUAGCUUGUAGGUAAGGUAACGGCUUACCUAGGCGACGAUCCCUAGCUGGUCUGAGAGGAUGAUCAGCCACACUGGAACUGAGACACGGUCCAG
rnacentral:rRNA from 1 species